AAAAUUGUAAACACAACCUCGUCUGGUUGUCAGAUCCAUUUUUCCUCGUCGACGAACGAGCAUUCUGCACUUGGUCGAGCUCGCCGUCGGACACCGUCCACCAUUGUCAGCGCUGCGUGGUUGUUCUGCGGCAAGUACUGAAGAAGGUUCAAACCCGGGCCUUAACUUCCCCCAAAAUCCUGUGAGAUUGAUUUGUUUGAUCUGGCUUUGAAUCUGGAUUUGAAUUCGUUCCCCAGGUCAUCUGUUCCCGCGUGGUUUUCAACCCUGACUCUGGAAAGGGAUUUUGGAAUGGCUGCAAUCUACAGUCUUUACAUCAUCAAUAAGUCUGGUGGAUUGAUCUAUUAUAAGGAUUAUGGUUCUGCUGGAAGAAUGGAUACCAAUGACAGUUUAAGAGUGGCAAGUUUAUGGCAUUCAAUGCACGCCAUCUCUCAACAGCUGUCACCGGUUUCAGGUUGUUCAGGGAUUGAACUUUUGCAAGCUGAUACAUUCGAUCUUCAUUGCUUCCAGUC